CCCGGCGGGGCGGCUGCAGCGCCGCGCGGGGGGAGCCGCGCACAGCCCCUGCCCCGAGCGAGGCAGCGCGUGUAGGAAGGAGAGAGCGUGCGAGAGGGAGGGAGGGAGCGGGGAGGGAGGGAGCGAGGGAGGGAGGGAGGGAGGCAGGGGAGGAAGGACGGGGAGAGCGCGUGUGUGCGAGAGGGGGGAGAGGCAGGGGAAAACUGCGGAGAGCGAGAAGAAAAGUGCGAUAGGAGCCCGGCCCCGGGGAGAUGUAUGCUUAAAGAGCCGCUGGAGCGAGCCCCGAGUUCCCGGGGGAGAAGGAAGGUUGGCCCGUGGAGAGGCAGCCGGCAGCAAAGCAGCCGGUACUUCUCCACGGCGUUUUCACGUCCGAAGAGUUUGCGGCGGGGUUUCCCGGCUCCCUGGGGAGGCUCCGAGGGAUGCAGCGGGCAGCGGAGAGCCGCGCCUCGGCGGGAGGCUUAGCGCAAGGGGACACGCUCAGGGAGCCGCGGUGACAUCCAGCAGCCCCUUGAGUUUCACAUGUUUUUCCAAUCGCUCAACCCCAAAUAUAUGGUGUCCCCCUCCCUCCCCCCUCCUCUUUCCUAGGAAUGCGCGUAAUAAAACCUAAUCGCCCGGGACUCUCCUCCUUUCUGCAUCUGCCGGACAAGAAACCGUGGGGGGACGAGGUCCUCCCGGCUCUGAAGCCGAGCUGCUAUGGGACGCCCGGCGGCCUCGGCCACGUCUGCACGUGGAAAACCUCGAAUGAGACUUUUGCGCUACAUUAACUGUCCCUCUGCCGUCCGGGGCUCCCUCUCCAGCAGCCGCCUUCUUCGUCUCCUGCAGCCAUCUCCGAAGCGGAGGUCGGGACGCUCACCCCAGGAGCGCAGCCCGGACCACGACAAAGUGGUCCAUGGUUCUUUGGUAUGUUGUUAUUCCCUGAAAGGUUGAGCAGGAUGAGUCACAGCAACACUGAGAGAAUGGAGGAUCCAGUUCUCACAGGACAGAAUGGUCCCACAGGAUCCAUGAAGGGGAAGAAGAGGGACAGUGUGCAGGCUAAGCAAUUUCUCAGACAUCAGCAGGUUUUUCACGUCAGAAUAAAAUAAUCUGGGUGUCUGCAGGUGCAGUGAAUUAGAUGGAAUAUUAUCCCUGCCUUGGAUUAAAGGGCAGAAACACUCUUAGUUCCAAACAACAAAUCCUAUAACUGAAAUGUAUGCCUAACCACCUCGCUGUGUUUACGUACUUCCACUCACCACAUUUUUCCCCAUCGAAGUUAGUUAAUAAAGUCAAAGAGUGAAACACAUCUGGGCUGUAUCACGACUGACUUUAAUGCUGAUAACUUAGGGAGGAAAUUGUGCUGUGGUGUGUGACUACAGAACGAACGUCCAAAGGUCCAACGUCCAAAGGUCCUACGUCCAAACAAAGACACUAAGACAUUGUAGAUGUGAGAUUGUAAACCUCACUGAUCAGAAGGGCUGCCAAUCAGCCCAUAGGUCUCACCUAGAGAGGAAACAAAAGUUCGGAGAAAAUCACCUCAAGGCAGUGAAUCUCUGCAGACAAUGUUUUCAAAACUGACAGCCUCCAGUAUCCUCAGGCCCAAGUUCCAUUGCCUGAAAACCACCUGAAUGGAGGAUGCAGGGCUCUGCAGGCUGAGUUUGAAAGAUGCCAACUGUCCCUGUGCACUCAGCCUUCCUGCUCCUCCUGAUGGAACAUGUGGAUAAGCACCAGCCUUGAAGUAAGCCCUCAGCACAGGAAGCAUCAAUUCUUUAAUUCAUACUUCAGGGAUUUGCAGCCAGGGUUUUCAUUUGACACAUCUAGAUAUUUCUCAUGUUAUAGUGGUACAUUCUUCCUCAAAGUGUUUUUCAAAAUCAGCAGGCUUUUCAGGGAUGAAACAUGAUUGUGCACUAAUAUAUUCCAUUUUUAAAGUAUGUGCUAAUUAUCAAAUCAGUCUUAUACUACUUCAUAUACAUUUAUAGACAAUCACUAAUAGUGUCAUUGAUCUGCAAAUAAAUAGAUUUAGCAGAAGCUUUCCUUUGAUGUAGAUAAAUGUAAACAACAAUGAAAAAAAAUAGCGUACAAGUGGUUGUCCUGUUCUCUUACCUUAAGGCUAUAUUACGAUCACAAUCAGACAUAUCUAGGCAUGUGUCACACCGGAUAAUGCUAUUUCUUGGGCGUUUGAGGGCAGAUGACUUUACCUUGGACUUCACAAAAGCUGAGACAUGCCAUUUAAAAGCAUGAAUCUGGCAUUACUGAAAACCCUCGCGUAUCAUACUCACGUAUAUCAUUGUUAACCUACAUAUGAGAUGUUUUUAAAAAUCGCUUCACAUUUAAUACUGAAGUCAUUUUACUUCUAUUAUUCAUGUGAAGAGCUAAAAAUAAACAUCCAAAAUAUUUUUCUCUUUUAUGGAACAGCUGAUAAAAGCCUUCAUUUGAAGUGAACUCUUGGAUGAAUGCAGCCUUAUUUUCUGGGCUCAGAUCUCUUGUACCCAGUUGGGAACCCCACAUCAGAUCUGGGAAGUACGUUGAAUCUUCAGAGGAAAGGGGCUCUAUACCUCAUAAUAUUCAUUAGGAAUAUCUUAGGCAAACAGUUUCCAGCCUAAAACUCACCCAUGAUGUGCUCAUUUGGGCUUUUUAUUUUGUUAUUCUCGAUGUGUCACUGGUCACCUAUUACACUUGGUCUACUUCCCAAUAGGUUGAAUGGAAUUAUUUUAACAAGAGACAACAAAUAAUAAAAGUGCAUAACCCAUUUGCCUGUCUGUGUAUGCAUGCUUUUUUUUGGUGCAGUUAUUCAUAGAAAGCCUGAUUCUGACUCCACUGCAUUUGAUAAAGCAGGAUUUGAUCCAUAAAGAAAAUAGAUUUACCUAACGCUUGUUAAGGGAAAAUCCUCCUUGCUUUAAUUUUCAGUUGUAUGGCCACAAACAUGAUCCGAACAAGACCCAUCUGAAACCCCUAGGGCUUCUUUGUGAGUAGAGUUGCAAUAGCAGCCCAGGAAAACAACCAGUUUUGUUGCUACAGGUUAAUUUCAGCUUUCAAACAUUAUUGGAAAUAAUCAAUCGCCUUUCUUCCCCUCCCCCAGCUGAACCUUGGAUUGCUUCCUCUGACAAAUGGCUCUGGGCACUGAAGUAAGAGCAUACUGUUUGAUUCAAAAGAAUUUUUUUUUUUUCUGUUGUUUCCAGACUUCAUUCACUGAAGAAGGUCCAGUCUGCACCCAAUACAUUCAUGGUAACUGUUCCCAAAAUAAACAUCAAGCAAGAUUCUUAGUAGUUGAGAGAGGCAAUUGUUCAAUUAUAUAAUCCCCCACAAAUGGGAAUAAAUCAAUAUAAAGAUCUAGGCCCCGCUUUCCUUGAGCAUCUAGCAGUUCAAC
ensembl:lncRNA